rnacentral:lncRNA from 1 species
AAUGAUAGAUAAAUAAUAGAAUAUUGGGACCUUUCUCGAAUCUGAUAGAUAAGUGUGAAUAAUAGACAAUCGAAUAUCUUUACAAUCGAAUCUGAUAGAUAAGUGGAAUUGACACACCACUGUUCCACACUCUCCAGCACCUUAUGGACGCCGCCGGUGAAGAUUCCGACAAGUCCGUCAACGCCCCAUCAAGGAACUAUGUACGUGACGCUAAGGCAAUGGCUGCAACACUAGCCGACGUGAAGGAAUACCCUAAUUCCUAUGUUUUCGUUGUGGACAUGCCAGGGUUGAAAUCCGGAGAUAUUAAGGUGCAGGUGGAAGAUGACAACGUGCUGCUGAUCAGUGGAGAAAGGAAGAGAGAAGAAGAGAAAGAAGGGGCUAAGUAUAUUAGAAUGGAGAGAAGGAUUGGAAAAUUCAUGAGGAAAUUUCUCUGCCGGAGAAUGCGAAUACUGAUGCCAUUUCUGCUAUUUGUCAAGACGGGGUCUUGACUGUUACUGUCCAGAAGUUGCCUCCUCCAGAGCCCAAGAAACCCAAAACUAUCGAGGUCAAAAUUGCAUGAGAUAUUAGAGUAGUUAAUAAUUACUCUGUUUUCUGGACAUGGGAUUGGGAAAUGCUCUGUUUUGAUGGUAAUAAAAUGCUAGAGAUCUAGGAGUGGUGGUCUUUCCCUCUGUUUGUCUUUAAUAUUUCCCAUGUUCCUAUCCAAUGCAUAAGUGCAAUUAUCUCAAUAUGGAGAAUGCAAUUUCUUUUUAUCUGAACUCCUUUAUGUCUAUGUUUGACCAAACAAUUGCAAACCCUUCGUUAAACUAAUUAAUUUUGUGUCAUGAGGAAUUAAAGAUAACAACCUCAGAUCUAUAAAUGACAGCAGUGAGAGGAGAUUAAAUAUGGUGUGCAUUCCAUGUCUAGACAUAAUUAACGAUGAUGGACUAUCAAGCAAUAAAUAGCAUUAAAUGACAUUAAAGUAAAUAAGGAGAAGAAUUUACCUAAUAUUGAAUGGGGUGGAUAAUUCCUUCUUCUGACAAAGAUUAAUGAUAGAUAAAUAAUAGAAUAUUGGGACCUUUCUCGAAUCUGAUAGAUAAGUGUGAAUAAUAGACAAUCGAAUAUCUUUACAAAGGUAAUGUUUGUAUUUUAUCUAGAGAGAGUCAGCUUUUCAAAGAGUGUUAUUAUCAGACAAUAUUACAUGUCUUUCACCUUAUCUCUCUAUCUACUUAUAUGGACAUACCCCUAAUCAAUCCUAAAAGUAUAAGUACAGUUCUCCUAAAAUAUCAUAUUACAAAAUUAGAUGUUGCUAUUGCUCCUAACAUUUGACCUAGGCCAUCAUUGGCUGCCCGGCUAUGAAAAUUAUGUACUAGGUGACCUCGACCAAAUUACUUUUCGUAAUACCUCUUCAUGUUAAAUUUUCUUGAGGCAGAUUUUGACAUAUACAGUUAGUCCCUUCGCUUAUUGAGGUCGACUCUGGACGAUCUUGAUGAGCGGACUUUGUUAAUCACGAUUAGAAAUUUAGGCGAGUAUAUUGAAUAGUAACGUUUCAGACGUGAUGGCUACGUGGCACUUUGCGAGUCGUCUCUUAUAGUCACAUCGAUUCAGAGUGACGUCAUGAUACCAUUUUCCCGAUGUAUAGUAUCGUUUCUUGUGCCUCUGCCAUUUCGAUACCUGCACUGGGCAUUGACAAUUUGUUUCCUCGAUAUUAAUGCCCGAGUUCUUAUUCAUGGGAGGCCCAUGUACUAUUUCUUCCACUGCUAGCUAGAGCAUGCGCUAUCGUAUUCGUCUCACGCUAGAUAUGGACAUAUGGUGUAUGGAAGGAUGGUUCAUUGCUCGAAGGAGAAACUUGUGAACUUGUUGUAUGGUUGAUAGUAAGUUAUCCCAACAAUGAUCUAAGUUCCUAGGAGAAUAGCCUAAGAUAUCUAUGUGAAUUUCCUAACAUAUUUUGCUAUUUGAGUCUCACUUCACUUUCCAUCAAACCUUGUUUGAAACUUACGCAUCCCUGUCCAAAAUGUUGCUUUUAUAUAGCAAAACAAAAAAAAUAUUUAAGUUAUCUGCACUGUUAGGUAAAGAUAAUUUUAAUGAUCAGUGUGUUUUAAUAUAUUAUAAUGAUAAAUUAAUUAAUCUACUAUAAAUAUUUAUAAAAUAAUUAUUUUCACGUGAUAUGGUUAUAUAAAUAAUUUUUGCACGACAAAUGAAUAGAGCUAAAAGUUAAAAGACAAAUAAAAAAAGAGCCCAAAUGGAGAGGAGUAAAAAUGUAAAAUACAUUACAUGCUAGCAAUUUGAACGACAUGUAACUCGACCACAUUCUAGACGAAUGUAGAACAUGGACAACGUCUAAACAGAAACUCCUAGAAACUUGCCACCUUCCUCUUCUAUUUCUCUCCAGAAGCUUCCCUGUUUCCACUAUUUAAUCACCCAAUCUUCAUUCUUCCCUCAACAUCCCCAGCAAUUCAAUUCUAAAACUCACAAAAUUCCACAUCCAAAAAAAUCCCAGGAUCAUUGGAACCAAGUCAACCAAGAAGAGGAGAAUGAAUUUCAGGCUAAUGGGAAUUGACACACCACUGUUCCACACUCUCCAGCACCUUAUGGACGCCGCCGGUGAAGAUUCCGACAAGUCCGUCAAUGCCCCAUCAAGGAACUAUGUACGUGACGCUAAGGCAAUGGCUGCAACACCAGCCGACGUGAAGGAAUACCCUAAUUCCUAUGUUUUCGUUGUGGACAUGCCAGGGUUGAAAUCCGGAGAUAUUAAGGUGCAAGUGGAAGAUGACAACGUGCUGUUGAUCAGUGGAGAAAGGAAGAGAGAAGAAGAGAAAGAAGGGGCUAAGUAUAUUAGAAUGGAGAGAAGGAUUGGAAAAUUCAUGAGGAAAUUUACA